rnacentral:tRNA from 1 species
GGGUGAUUGGCGCAGUGGUAGCGCAGCUCCUUUACACGGAGAAGGUCGGGGGUUCAAAUCCCUCAUCACCCACCA